rnacentral:rRNA from 1 species
GAUGAACGCUGGCGGCGUGCCUAAUACAUGCAAGUCGAGCGAACAGACGAGGAGCUUGCUCCUCUGACGUUAGCGGCGGACGGGUGAGUAACACGUGGAUAACCUACCUAUAAGACUGGGAUAACUUCGGGAAACCGGAGCUAAUACCGGAUAAUAUAUUGAACCGCAUGGUUCAAUAGUGAAAGACGGUUUUGCUGUCACUUAUAGAUGGAUCCGCGCCGCAUUAGCUAGUUGGUAAGGUAACGGCUUACCAAGGCAACGAUGCGUAGCCGACCUGAGAGGGUGAUCGGCCACACGGGAGCUGAGACACGGUCCAGACUCCUACGGGAGGCAGCAGUAGGGAAUCUUCCGCAAUGGGCGAAAGCCUGACGGAGCAACGCCGCGUGAGUGAUGAAGGUCUUCGGAUCGUAAAACUCUGUUAUUGGGGAAGAACAAAUGUGUAAGUAACUAUGCACGUCUUGACGGUACCUAAUCAGAAAGCCACGGCUAACUACGUG